AUUGAACGCUGGCGGCAGGCCUAACACAUGCAAGUCGAGCGAGCGGCGGACGGGUGAGUAAUGUAUGGGGACUGCCCGAUAGAGGGGGAUAACUACUGGAAACGGUAGCUAAUACCGCAUACUAUCGGAUAACCCAUAUGGGAUUAGCUAGUAGGUGAGGUAAUGGCUCACCUAGGCGACGAUCCCUAGCUGGUCUGAGAGGAUGAUCAGCCAGACGGGAAUGUAGACACGGGCCAGACUCCGACGGAGGCAGCAGUGGGGAAUAUUGCACAAUGGGAGCAAGCUGGAUGCAUCCAUGCCGCGUGUAUGAAGAAGGCCCUAGGGUUGUAAAGUACUGUCAGUGGGGAGGCGUUACCGUCAGAAGAAGCACCGGCUAACUCCGUGCCAGCAGCCGCGGUAAUUC
rnacentral:rRNA from 1 species